GUCGAGGCCGGGGCCGGCUGAGUGAAAGGGUGGGUGAUUAUCCCGGGAGAUAGGCCGAAAGGGCGGAAGCGAAAUAUUAAAAAGGGAGCCGUUCCCCGCUCUAUCCCCAAUCUAGCGGAGGUAAAGAAGAAAGGCAAAAUGAAGAAGCUCGGCCAAGCAAUGGAAGAAGACCUAAUCGUGGGACUGCAAGGGAUGGAGCUGAACCUUGAGGCUGAAGCACUGGCUGGCACUGGCUUGGUGUUGGAUGAGCAGCUAAAUGAAUUCCAUUGCCUCUGGGAUGACAGCUUCCCGGAAGGCCCUGAGCGGCUCCAUGCCAUCAAGGAGCAACUGAUCCAGGAGGGCCUCCUAGAUCGCUGCGUGUCCUUUCAGGCCCGGUUUGCUGAAAAGGAAGAGCUGAUGUUGGUUCACAGGUGAAGGCUUGGGAGCCUUGUAGGGAUGGGGAGGAGCCUGCCCUGGACAAACCAGGGCAAGCUAAACGCUUUGGGAAGCAAUGUCAUGGUCUCUGCAGCCAGCCUUGGGCAAGUCGCUGAGCCUUUCUGAAUCUGUGUCAUCGCCUGUAACAAGGGGACCAGUAAACAUAAGUUC
rnacentral:sRNA from 1 species